rnacentral:rRNA from 1 species
GAACACCAGUGGCGAAGGCGGCUUUCUGGACUGUAACUGACACUGAGGCACGAAAGCGUGGGGAGCAAACAGGAUUAGAUACCCUGGUAGUCCACGCCGUAAACGAUGAGCACUAGCUGUUGGGUCCGAACGGAUUCAGUGGCGCAGUUAACGCAAUAAGUGCUCCGCCUGGGGAGUACGUUCGCAAGAAUAAAACUCAAAGGAAUUGACGGGGACCCGCACAAGCAGCGGAGCAUGUGGUUUAAUUCGAAGCAACGCGAAAAACCUUACCAGAGCUUGACAUCCCUCUGACAGGACCUUAAUCGGUCCCUUCUUCGGACAGAGGAGACAGGUGGUGCAUGGUUGUCGUCAGCUCGUGUCGUGAGAUGUUGGGUUAAGUCCCGCAACGAGCGCAACCCUUGUCGUUAGUUACUAACAUUAAGUUGAGAACUCUAGCGAGACUGCCGAGGUUAACUCGGAGGAAGGUGGGAUGACGUCAAAUCAUCAUGCCCCUUAUGUUCUGGGCUACACACGUGCUACAAUGGUCGGUACAAUGNGAAGCAANNCNNNNNAGGGGAGCAAAUCACCAAAACCGNUCCCAGUUCGGAUUGUAGGCUGCAACUCGCCUACAUGAAGUUG